UUUCGCGUUCGGUUUACGCGCCAUAAUGCCGUUACCGACAGCAUGCAACAGGUGGGUUUUACCCAGACCCGUACCACCAUA
rnacentral:antisense_RNA from 1 species